rnacentral:rRNA from 1 species
UACGUAGGUGGCAAGCGUUGUCCGGAUUUACUGGGCGUAAAGAGCGCGCAGGCGGUCGGAUAAGUCGAAUGUGAAAGCCCCCGGCUCAACUGGGGAGGGUCACGCGAUACUGAUCGACUCGAAGGCAGGAGAGGGUAGUGGAAUUCCCGGUGUAGUGGUGAAAUGCGUAGAUAUCGGGAGGAACACCAGUGGCGAAGGCGACUACCUGGCCUGUUCUUGACGCUGAGGCGCGAAAGCUGGGGGAGCAAACGGG